GCUGACACCAUCAGUUGAUCCUCAUCCAGUUGUCGCCUUUUGUGUGUAGGGGAAAAGGCCGGUGCUCGCCUCCCUGAGGGACUCCUGGGACUCCUUAUCUGCCUGCCAGUGUGUGUGUAUCUGCCGCAAGACGCCUUAGUUUCCGCCGACAGGCAACGUAUGUAUAGCCACAAGCGUGGGUGGACGGGCGUGGCUGGACGGGAGUGGGUUACAUCUGGCCAUGCGACCGUCACCGGGUGCACGUCACCAGCAUCAAGAGACUUCCUGCUUGGCCAUCUUUGCCCACCGCGACAUAGACGGACUUACGAUUCAAAGGUGGUCUGGACACCCAAUUUGGUCAGACAGGUGAAGAGAGCAUUUAGGAUA